rnacentral:rRNA from 1 species
CCCCUCUCUCCCCUCUCCCUUCCCCUCCUCCCCUCUCCGCUCCGCCCCCGCGUCUCCGGCGAGGGCUCAGGCCGCGGCCCCGUCGACCCGCGCACCUUCCCCGGGAGAGCGCCUCCUCCACGGCAACAGCGGCCUCGCGGAGGCUCCCUUCUCCCCUCCCCCAAGGUCUGCGGCGUCGGAUUGGCCUCAGCUCGAAGAUCUCGAUUUUGUUCCGAAGGAAGGACCCCUCGCCCCAAAUCUCGAUCUGUGGACUGGUGGGCAGAAAGAUUCACCCUUUAUGGGGCAACCCCGUGAGAAGCCCGUGCCAUGAUUGGGGCGUCAGGGGAGGAGAGGCAGUGGUAGGAGGAGGUACAGCAGGAGGCAGGAGAAGAAGAGCAGGCGAGGAUAGGCAGGACCAAGGAAAAGGAGAGGAGGGAGCUCUCCAUGGGAGGAGAGCCCCUCCUCACCUCCCUCUCCAUGGAGAACAGCAAUAGCCAUCCCUGCACCCUCCUCUCCAUGGACCCCGCCGGGUCGCACCCGGCCUCGGCCGAGUCCUCCGGCGGUGGCGGCGCCGUCAACGGGGUUGGCGCCAGUGCUGACAGGGAGCUCUUCAUCAUUCCGCGGCAUGAGUCUGUGCGUCAAGGCCCGCCAGACAUCAACGUCCCGCUGUCAGCAGACCCCUCCCCGCCGCCUGCAUUGUGGAGCCUUGACACGUUCGACAUUUUCGAUGUCGGCCUUGGCACGCACACUCAUGAGUCUGAGGUUGCGCUGACGCUUCCAAAGUCGAGCGGCAACGGCAGUGCCGCAGUCGGCGUCGGUGCGAGGAAGUGCGCUAAGAGGGGGGACAGCAUUUGGGGAGCCUGGUUCUUCUUCAAUCACUACUUCAGGCCUGCACUUGUGGAGAAGGCAAAGGAGAAGGUGACGCGCGACGCAUCUGGGAGCAUCACUGGCUUUGACAAGUCCGAUCUCCGCCUUGAUGUUUUCCUGGUGCAGCAUGACAUGGAGAACUUGUACAUGUGGGUUUUUAAGGAACGGCCUGACAAUGCCCUUGGGAAGAUGCAGCUCCGGAGUUUCAUGAAUGGGCAUUCCAAGCACGGGGAGCCAUCUUUUCCAUUCAGUGCGGACAAGGGCUUUUCGAGGUCGCACCGCAUGCAGCGAAAGCACUACCGUGGUCUGUCCAACCCACAGUGCCUUCAUGGGAUUGAGAUUGUGAACUCACCAAACUUGUCGGCAGUUCCUGAGGCUGAUAUGAAGAGGUGGGCUGAGCUUACAGGAAGGGACCUUAAUUUCUCAAUACCGGCUGAAGCGAGUGACUUUGAGUCAUGGAGAAAUCUUCCAAGCACUGAUUUUGAACUUGAUAGGCCACAGCCAGCAGCGUCAAAGAGCGUCGCACAUACCUCUCAUAAUAAUAACCACAAGAAGACACUGAAUGGUUCAGGUCUGAACCUAUCUACACCGCCGUCAUCAGACGAUGGGAUGGACCUUUCACCAAAGUGCCACAAACGCCGCAAGGACUUCUUUGGUCAUGGCGUAGAAGAGGAUUGUGCGAUGGCCAAUAAUUCAUGUUCCGAGAGAGAGCAAGAGGUAGAAGUCCACACCGGUGAGCCGUCAUGGAUGCACGACUUCACUGGCGUGGCAAAGCACGCAAGUGGGCCUGUUACUGCUGCCAAGACGAUAUACGAGGAUGAUGAAGGCUACCUGAUCAUGGUGAGCAUGCUCUUAUCCGAUCCACACAGCGUGAAGGUCACCUGGAGGAACACGCUGACGCACGGCGUCGUGAAGAUAACAUGUGUGAGCACCGCCCGCAUGCCCUUCAUCAAGAGGCACGACAGGACCUUCAAGCUGACCGACCCUUCCCCUGAGCACUGCCCUCCUGGCGAGUUCGUGAGGGAGAUACCUCUGGCCACAAGGAUCCCAGAGAACGCCAAGAUCGAAGCGUAUUACGACGAGACCGGUACUGGACUGGAGAUCAUGGUACCAAAGCACCGGGUCGGACCGGAGGAGCAUGAAGUCCAGGUUUGCAUGAGGCCCCCGCAUCUUGGCGACAAUGAUCUCGUUUUAUCAUAAUAGAACAGGAAAAAAAAGAUUUUAGCCUCUUACUAGGUCCUCCGGUGUCAUGCCAUGAGACACCGGAACAUAGCAGCAACGCUAUCGUCAUGUCCAACUUAUUUGUCUCCCUUAGGCGGAAAAUUACCUUCUCCCCUGUUAAUCCCCUCUGUACUUUCUUUCUACACAGGUGCUACAUCACUACAUUGGUGGUGAUCCCCUUGACUAUUCCUUUCUGUGAAACAUGGCAAAGCUAAUAGUAGUAUAUAUUCCUGUCCCUGUAUAUUCCGAGGAUCGGGUUCAUAAUAAUGUGGACAGCUGCUACUCAUGAGCAGAGUCUGUCGACAUCGCUGCUGUAAUCAUUGUCCUAGGCAUCUUAGCAUACUUGUAUGUAUCGUACUAUAUAGGUAUGGCCUGGAUCGCUCUCGGCAUAAACGGGAACCUAAGAUUCUGUCUACCUGAAUCUGUUCUCGUGCCUGCUUUAUUCGUAGUGCUGAACCAAUGAUGUUCAGGGCCUGGUUUUCACAGCGGUGAUGCUGAAUCGUGCUGUUUCUGGCUCGCUCCGACGCGCAUUUCUCGGUUCAUCCUGGCUCUCCUGGGUGGUGUUGCGUAAGCAAAGAUGAUAUUUCUGCUUGUAUAUUCGCUGACUUGUAUGACCCGGAUCGUUUUGGUCUUUAGAUGAAAAUCUGCUGUCUGACUUGAAUUUCCGC